AUGGUAAUACAAGCUAGCAAAGUUUACACACCAUGCAUAUUUGAAGAUUUUCAGAAUGAGUAUGAAAGAUCCAUCUCAGCAUACAUCAAGCCAUCGGAAGAACACAAUGCAUAUACUGUUGCAAUUGCAAGUCUUGACCCAGAAUUCCCAUAUAAAGAAGAGUGCAAAGUACUAGUUGAUUAUGAAGAGCAAAAAGUUUUCUGCAAUUGUGGGCAAUUUGAAAGAGUUGGUAUAUUGUGCAGUCAUGCUUUGAAAGCCCUUGAUGUCAUGAAUAUUAAGUAUCUUCCAGGCCACUAUAUUUUGAAGCGAUGGACUCGAGAAGCGCGAAGCGGCACUAUUGAAAACAGCCAUGGAAACAUUGUUUUGGAAGAUCCUAGAUCAGAAGAUAGACAACAGUUGAAGUUUUUCAUGCACGAGUUCCUUGGCAUAGCUUCACAAGCAGUAACAUCAGAAGAGUGUAUCAAACUAGUAGAUGAUGCUUUGAGGAUUCUUAGGAAGCAAGUUGAAGAGAAAACUCGCACUACUACAUGCAGAACUGAAGAUAUAUCUAAAGAACCAGAGGAUUGUUUAAAGGAUGCUUCCCUAAAGAAAAAGGAAAUUCCGAAGAAAAAUUCAAGAAGAAAGAAAACAUGGCUUGGCAACCAGCACCCCAAUAAAAAGAAGGAGACAACUAUAGCAGUACCGAAAAAUCAAACUCAUUCUGUAAAUCUCUUGCACCUAUCUAACUACACUACUUAUUUAAUAGACUGA
rnacentral:rRNA from 1 species